AGUAAAUGAUGAGAUUCCAUUGGUCCGUGUUUCUGAACUACGUGAUUUUCCUUGGCUAUUCUGAUACU
ensembl:snoRNA Gm23344 small nucleolar RNA SNORD18